rnacentral:rRNA from 1 species
UACGUAGGGCGCAAGCGUUGUCCGGAAUUAUUGGGCGUAAAGAGCUCGUAGGCGGUCUGUCGCGUCUGCCGUGAAAACCCGAGGCUUAACCUCGUGGCUUGCGGUGGAUACGGGCAGACUAGAGGUAGGUAGGGGAGAAUGGAAUUCCCGGUGUAGCGGUGAAAUGCGCAGAUAUCGGGAGGAACACCGGUGGCGAAGGCGGUUCUCUGGGCCUUACCUGACGCUGAGGUGCGAAAGCGUGGGGAGCAAACAGG